rnacentral:rRNA from 1 species
CCAAUAUUUAACUACUAAAAGGGUUCAACCAAUCCCAAAAUUACUGGCAGGAGAUAAUUGAUAAUUGAGUACAAGUUAGUUAACACACCUUAGUGAUCACAUGUUCAUGUGGUAAAUGCGCAUUGCCACAACCCUCUUUUGAUUUCGUUUGCUGCAACUCCUAUUAAAGCAAUAGUUCUAAGACAUUAGAAUGGAUCUGCAUUAAAUAGUACAUAAAAAGCCCAUUACAUUACCUGCAUGGUAGUUUGUGGCUCCUGCACAUCAUUAUUUGAUUGUUCAAGAACAUUAUAAGAUUCAGAUUGGAGAUUGUUAUCUCUGUCAUGUGGAGUGACCUGCAAUAAAAUUAUUGUAAUAGCAUAUCAGUGUUCAUUAAUUUCAUCUUUGCACAAAUAUAACUGCUUUUGAUAUGCUAACUUGAUAAUUUUCUGUAGGAGAAUCCACUUCAUUUCUGCAAAUCUCUCCAGGAAACUUUUUGGCAAGGAAUGCAGCAAUCAUAGCCAUCUGACCUCUAACAUCCCCUACAUCACCUUUGACUUCCUUUACAUCACCUUUGACGUCCUCUACAUCAUCUUUGACAUCUUCUACAUUAUCUUUCACCAUGCGUACUUCAAACUGAAGAUUUUCUUGGUCAGAUUUCCCAACAAAAGUUAUUCCCUGAGAAACAUUUACUCCGCUCCAAUACUUUUCAUCAUAGUAACCUCGAAGUUUUGCCCUUUUAUCAAGUGCAACUUUGAAGGCUUCAGUAUAAUCGUCAAUGGAAAGGCUACCAUUAUGAUCGAUUUUCCUUUUUUUAACUCCUCAUUAGCUGCAUCCUAUUGAAUAGGAAUAAUUAUUAAUUCAUUACUAUACUAUGGAAUAGAUUGUAUGUUGGACUGUAGACAAAAUAAGUAGAAUGUACCAUUAUUGUCUUCACAUUGUCGCUUGUGUAAUUGCCAUCUUUUUUCUUAUGAGCUUCAUCCCAUAGGUCAAUCUUGUGGAUCGGUGCUUUCCUUUUGAUUUCCUAGCCAACAAAGUAUGUUAGGUCCACUAAUAGUUAUUUUUGAAGAUAAUUGAUUUGUCAUGUAAUAAAGACUAUGAAAAGUAUCAUUGUCACCAUCUCUUUUUGUAGCCUGGCAUGGCUUUUUCUCCCGGUUGUGUGUGGAUUCUUCUGUUGCUUCGCACACUCUGUGUUUUUCUCGC